AAGCUAGGGGAGCGAGGCUGCAUUGACUUGGGGAUCCCUCUAUCUAGCACAGUGAGAGAAGUGAUGGCAAUGUCUAGAAGGAGAAAACAUCGCCAGGCAGCGCUAAACAGUGUUGAAGAAGCAAUUAAAAACGCAAGAAUGCAGCUGAGAGGAAAUGAGGUAGAUGUGGCCCUAUGGAAAGGGAAAAACAGUAGCUAUUGUAAAAGUUUCUCGACCAAAGAAACAUGGGCGCAGAUCCGCACUUCGAAACCAAUGAUGGAGGGAUUCAAAGAGAUAUGGUUCAAAGCUGCAACUCCAAAAUAUGCUUUUAUCACAUGGCUAGUGGUUAAAAACAGAGUAGCAACAGGGGAGAGAAUGUUGACUUGGAAGCAGAAUGCAAACUCAAGUUGUGUGUUCUGUGGGGUACCUAUAGAAACAAGAGAGCAUCUGUUUUUCAUGUGCCCGUACUCGAAGACAAUUUGGAAAGAAUUGGUUCUGGGGCUACUGUUGGAUAAGUUCUCGGAACAUUGGCAAGAGAUCAUGAAGAUUAUUAAAGGGGAGGGCUUUGACAAGACAAAGACUUUCUUGCUAAGGUACACGUUUCAAAACUCUAUUCACUCAAUAUGGAAUGAGAGGAAUAGAAGGAGACACGGUGAACAGCCUUUACCAACAGAGAUACUCGUCAAGUUAAUUGAUAAAAAUGUCCGUAAUCGGUUGAGCACAAUGGAAGGGAGAGGAGCCUCAAGCGGACUCCAAACUUGGUUUGCAUCAAGGAUCUAGAGAAGACUUUGUUUGCUUUUUAAUGU
rnacentral:lncRNA from 1 species